rnacentral:rRNA from 1 species
GACGAACGCUGGCGGCGUGCUUAACACAUGCAAGUCGAACGAAGUGGCGAACGGGUGAGUAACGCGUAAUCAACCUGCCCUUCAGUGGGGGACAACAGUUGGUAACGACUGCUAAUACCGCAUACUGAAGGAUGGGAUUGCGUCUUAUUAGCUAGUUGGAGGGGUAAUGGCCCACCAAGGCGAUGAUCAGUAGCCGGGCUGAGAGGAUGAACGGCAAUAUUGGGACUGAGACACGGGCCAGACUCCUACGGGAGGCAGCAGGGGGGAAUCUUCCGAAAUGGACGAAAGUCUGACGGAGCAACGCCGCGGGAGUGAUGACGGCCUUCGGGUUGUAAAGCUCUGUUAAUCGGGACGCGGUACCGGAAUAGAAAGCCACGGCUAACGACGUGCCAGCAGCCGCGGUAAUUC